AGAGUUUGAUCCUGGCUCAGGAUGAACGCUGGCGGCGUGCUUAACACAUGCAAGUCGAACGAACCUUCGGGUUAGUGGCGGACGGGUGAGUAACGCGUGGGAAUCUGCCCUCAGGAGGGGGAUAACGGCUGGAAACGGCCGCUAAUACCCCCAUAUGCCGAGAGGUGAAAAGAAAUUCGCCUGAGGAUGAGCCCGCGUCUGAUUAGCUAGUUGGUGGGGUAAGAGCUCACCAAGGCGACGAUCAGUAGCUGGUCUGAGAGGAUGAUCAGCCACACUGGGACUGAGACACGGCCCAGACUCCUACGGGAGGCAGCAGUGGGGAAUUUUCCGCAAUGGGCGAAAGCCUGACGGAGCAACGCCGCGUGAGGGAUGAAGGCCUCUGGGCUGUAAACCUCUUUUCUCAAGGAAGAAGACAUGACGGUACUUGAGGAAUAAGCCACGGCUAAUUCCGUGCCAGCAGCCGCGGUAAUACGGGAGUGGCAAGCGUUAUCCGGAAUUAUUGGGCGUAAAGCGUCCGCAGGCGGCCCUGUAAGUCUGUCGUUAAAGCGUGGAGCUUAACUCCAUUUAAGCGAUGGAAACUACAGGGCUUGAGUGUGGUAGGGGCAGAGGGAAUUCCCGGUGUAGCGGUGAAAUGCGUAGAUAUCGGGAAGAACACCAGUGGCGAAGGCGCUCUGCUGGGCCAUAACUGACGCUCAUGGACGAAAGCCAGGGGAGCGAAAGGGAUUAGAUACCCCUGUAGUCCUGGCCGUAAACGAUGAACACUAGGUGUCGGGGGAAUCGACCCCCUCGGUGUCGUAGCCAACGCGUUAAGUGUUCCGCCUGGGGAGUACGCACGCAAGUGUGAAACUCAAAGGAAUUGACGGGGGCCCGCACAAGCGGUGGAGUAUGUGGUUUAAUUCGAUGCAACGCGAAGAACCUUACCAGGGUUUGACAUCCUGCGAAUCCCUUGGAAACGAGGGAGUGCCUUCGGGAGCGCAGAGACAGGUGGUGCAUGGCUGUCGUCAGCUCGUGUCGUGAGAUGUUGGGUUAAGUCCCGCAACGAGCGCAACCCACGUCUUUAGUUGCCAGCAUUCAGUUGGGCACUCUAGAGAGACCGCCGGUGAUAAACCGGAGGAAGGUGUGGAUGACGUCAAGUCAUCAUGCCCCUUACAUCCUGGGCUACACACGUACUACAAUGCUACGGACAAAGGGCAGCAAGCUCGCGAGAGUUAGCAAAUCCCAUAAACCGUGGCUCAGUUCAGAUCGUAGGCUGCAACUCGCCUACGUGAAGGAGGAAUCGCUAGUAAUCGCAGGUCAGCAUACUGCGGUGAAUACGUUCCCGGGCCUUGUACACACCGCCCGUCACACCAUGGAAGUUGGCCAUGCCCGAAGUCGUUACUCCAACAC
rnacentral:rRNA from 1 species